UCCUCUUAUAGAAGUAAUUUGCAAGUUGAAAUUGAAAAUGAAAUAUUGGUUAUGCUGGAUUUCACAGUGGAAUAAACUUACAGGAGCUGGACCACAGAAAAGAAUCACUGCAGCAAGCUGUAACUGAUGUAUGUAGUGACAACUCACCGCAUAUAAAGAGAAAGAGCACCGAGCAAUGACUGCUGCGAUUCACUGUUUCUUGAAACACCUGGUGUGGGUGUGAAAUUUCCUAAGACACAGUGGGUGAAGAAUGUCUUUUUCCUUUACCUGGUACUGUGAAGCCAACUGACCCCUUCUUGUAAAGAUCAACCACAGAAACACCAUCAACUCACAUGUGAUGUGACACCAUCGCAGUUAUAACAACUCUUGUGAUUACAUUGGGCCCAACUGGUUAAUCUGGAAUAACCUUCCCAUUCCAGUCCAUUUCCAGUGUUGCGAUUCUUUACUAGAAAAGACUUCUCUCCAUGGCAAACAUAACAUUGGAAGGAAUCACUAUUUAUUGAGGAGAAGAACUAUGAAGAGGAAAGAAAAAUUUGAGGGGAAGAAUCCAAGCUUACCUACCUGGCUAUUGACAAGCUUCAGUGAAAAAGAGUAGGAGAAAGAGCAAGAGUAAGAGCAGACAGCGUUCCCAAAAUGCACGCCACAGUCAUUUUUAAGCUAAUACUGAAAGCAACAUUCUAUUGCUACCACAGCAUUGUAUCUGUGAGAGCUAUUUCAUUUCAAUCCAAGAGAAGGUGUUUUUAACCAUUGAAGGAUUGCAGUUCAUUUUGUGAACCAAUAGGAUGCCAGAUUUAUUUUAAUUUAUCAAAGCAAACAUAAAAUGA